rnacentral:rRNA from 1 species
AGUGAACGCUGGCGGUAGGCCUAACACAUGCAAGUCGAACGGCAGCACAGUAAGAGCUUGCUCUUACGGGUGGCGAGUGGCGGACGGGUGAGGAAUACAUCGGAAUCUACUUUUUCGUGGGGGAUAACGUAGGGAAACUUACGCUAAUACCGCAUACGACCUACGGGUGAAAGCAGGGGAUCUUCGGACCUUGCGCGAUUGAAUGAGCCGAUGUCGGAUUAGCUAGUUGGCGGGGUAAAGGCCCACCAAGGCGACGAUCCGUAGCUGGCCUGAGAGGAUGAUCAGCCACACUGGAACUGAGACACGGUCCAGACUCCCACGGGAGGCAGCAGUGGGGAAUAUUGGACAAUGGGCGCAAGCCUGGUCCAGCCAUACCGCGUGGGUGAAGAAGGCCUUCGGGUUGUAAAGCCCUUUUGUUGGGAAAGAAAAGCAGCAGGUUAAUACCCCGCUGUUCUGACGGUACCCAAAGAAUAAGCACCGGCUAACUUCGUG